CCUACGGGGGGCUGCAGUGGGGAAUUUUGGACAAUGGGCGCAAGCCUGAUCCAGCAAUGCCGCGUGCAGGAUGAAGGCCUUCGGGUUGUAAACUGCUUUUGUACGGAGCGAAAAGGCUUCCACUAAUACUGGGGGCUCAUGACGGUACCGUAAGAAUAAGCACCGGCUAACUACGUGCCAGCAGCCGCGGUAAUACGUAGGGUGCAAGCGUUAAUCGGAAUUACUGGGCGUAGAGCGUUCGCAGGCGGUCGAAAUCCCCGGGCUUAACCUGGGAACUGCACUUGUGACUGCAAGGCUGGAGUACGGCAGAGGGGGAUGGAAUUCCGCGUGUAGCAGUGAAAUGCGUAGAUAUGCGGAGGAACACCGAUGGCGAAGGCAAUCCCCUGGGCCUGUACUGACGCUCAUGCACGAAAGCGUGGGGAGCAAACAGGAUUAGAUACCCUUGUAGUC
rnacentral:rRNA from 1 species